rnacentral:misc_RNA from 1 species
GAUGAAGAACGUAGCGAAAUGCGAUAAGUAGUGUGAAUUGCAGAAUUCAGUGAAUCAUCGAAUCUUUGAACGCACAUUGCGCCCCUUGGUAUUCCAUGGGGCAUGCCUGUUCGAGCGUCAUUUGUACCCUCAAGCUUUGCUUGGUGUUGGGCGUCUUGUCUUGUAUUAGACUCGCCUUAAAGUCAUUGGCAGCCAGUGUUUUUGGUAGUAAGCGCAGCACAUUUUGCGUCUUAGUCCUUGAAUCGGGGCAUCCAUGAAGCCUUUUUUCACUUUUGACCUCGGAUCAGGUAGGGAUACCCGCUGAACUUAAGCAUAUCAAUAAGCGGAGGA